UGAUCAGCCACACUGGAACUGACACACGGUCCAGACUCCUACGGGAGGCAGCAGUGAGGAAUUUUGCGCAAUGGGGGAAACCCUGACGCAGCAACGCCGCGUGAGUGAUGAAGGCUUUCGGGUCGUAAAGCUCUGUCAAGUGGGAAGAAACCACGAGGUGAUAAUAUCGCUUUGUGCUGACGGUACCACUGAAGGAAGCACCGGCUAACUCCGUGCCAGCAGCCGCGGUAAUACGGGGGGUGCAAGCGUUAUUCGGAAUCAUUGGGCGUAAAGGGCGCGUAGGCGGUUUGUUAAGUCAGAUGUGAAAGCCCGGGGCUCAACCCCGGAAGUGCAUUUGAUACUGGCGGACUUGAGUAUGGGAGAGGGAAGUGGAAUUCCUGGUGUAGAGGUGAAAUUCGUAGAUAUCAGGAGGAACACCGGUGGCGAAGGCGACUUCCUGGACCAAUACUGACGCUGAGGCGCGAAGGCGUGGGUAGCAAACAGGAUUAGAUACCCUGGUAGUCCACGCAGUAAACGGUGAUCACUAGGUGUAGCGGGUAUUGACCCCUGCUGUGCCGCAGUUAACGCAUUAAGUGAUCCGCCUGGGGAGUACGGCCGCAAGGUUAAAACUCAAAGGAAUUGACGGGGGCCCGCACAAGCGGUGGAGCAUGUGGUUUAAUUCGACGCAACGCGAAGAACCUUACCUGGGUUUGACAUCUCGGGGAUUUUUUGGAAACAAGAAAGUGCCCUUCGGGGAGCCCGAAGACAGGUGCUGCAUGGCUGUCGUCAGCUCGUGUCGUGAGAUGUUGGGUUAAGUCCCGCAACGAGCGCAACCCUUAUCUUUAGUUACCAUCACUUCGGGUGGGGACUCUAAAGAUACUGCCCCGGUCAACGGGGAGGAAGGUGGGGAUGACGUCAAGUCCUCAUGGCCUUUAUGCCCAGGGCUACACACGUGCUACAAUGGGCGAUACAAAGGGUAGCGAGCCUGCGAAGGUGAGCCAAUCCCAAAAAGUCGUUCUUAGUUCGGAUUGGAGUCUGCAACUCGACUCCAUGAAGCUGGAAUCGCUAGUAAUCGCGGAUCAGCACGCCGCGGUGAAUACGUUCCCGGGCCUUGUACACACCGCCCGUCACACCAUGAGAGUUGGUUGUACCAGAAGUUGUUGGGCUAACCCGCAAGGGAGGCAGGCACCUAAGGUAUGGCUGAUGAUUGGGGUGAAGUCGAAACAAGGUA
rnacentral:rRNA from 1 species